rnacentral:rRNA from 1 species
AGUGAACGCUGGCGGUAGGCCUAACACAUGCAAGUCGAACGGCAGCACAGUAAGAGCUUGCUCUUACGGGUGGCGAGUGGCGGACGGGUGAGGAAUACAUCGGAAUCUACUUUUUCGUGGGGGAUAACGUAGGGAAACUUACGCUAAUACCGCAUACGACCUACGGGUGAAAGCAGGGGAUCUUCGGACCUUGCGCGAUUGAAUGAGCCGAUGUCGGAUUAGCUAGUUGGCGGGGUAAAGGCCCACCAAGGCGACGAUCCGUAGCUGGUCUGAGAGGAUGAUCGGGCAAAGUGGAACUGAGAGACGGACGGGACUCCUCGGGGACACAGCAGGGGGGGAUGUUGGAGAAUGGGGGCAGGUGGUAACCCGCUGUAGCGGGGAAAGAAAGAAGGCCGUCGGGUUGUCGAAUCUUUUUAUUGUGAAAGAAAAGCAGCAGCUGGCUAACCCGGUGCGCGGAGGGUAGCUAAAGGAUAAGCACCGCCUACCUUCGGU